CAGCAGCCGCGGUAAUACGUAGGGUGCGAGCGUUAAUCGGAAUUACUGGGCGUAAAGCGUGCGCAGGCGGUUGUGUAAGACAGGUGUGAAAUCCCCGGGCUUAACCUGGGAACUGCGCUUGUGACUGCACAGCUAGAGUAUGGCAGAGGGGGGUGGAAUUCCACGUGUAGCAGUGAAAUGCGUAGAGAUGUGGAGGAACACCGAUGGCGAAGGCAGCCCCCUGGGCCAAUACUGACGCUCAUACACGAAAGCGUGGGGAGCAAACAGGAUUAGAUACCCCUGUAGUCCCUGUCUCUUAUAC
rnacentral:rRNA from 1 species